rnacentral:rRNA from 1 species
UAGUGAUAGCUGGUUGUUCAGGAAAAGAGUCUUAGCUCUACCUUAAGUUUUUCUAUUUACCAAAAAAUACCCUAAACUUAAGUGCUAUUCAAAUAAGGCACAGCUUAUUUGAAAAAGGAUACAACCUAAAAUACUGGGUAAACAAGGGUAACCCAAACAAAGUGGGCCUAAAAGCAGCCACCUUUUAAAAAGCGUUAUAGCUUAAUUAUAUAUACCCCUAAUAAUUAAAUUCCCCUCAACCCUUCAUCAAUACUGAACUGUUUUAUACUUCUAUAAAAGUCAUUAUGCUAGAACUAGUAACAAGAAUUUGCCCUUCUCCAAAAUGUAAGUAUAAACCAAAACGGACCACCCGCUGGCUCUUAACGUAAAUGCACACAAUAUAGCAACAAAAUCUAGAAAACCCUAUAGCAUCAAACGUUAACCUUACACCAGAACAUUCCAGGAAAGAUUAAAAGAGAAAGAAGGAACUCGGCAAACCUUAGCCCCGCCUGUUUACCAAAAACAUCGCCUCUUGACUAACAUAAGAGGUCCAGCCUGCCCAGUGACAAAGUUUAACGGCCGCGGUACCCUAACCGUGCAAAGGUAGCAUAAUCACUUGUUCUUUAAAUAGGGACUUGUAUCAACGGCAUCACGAGGGCUAUACUGUCUCCUCUCUCCAAUCAGUGAAACUGAUCUCCCCGUGAAGAAGCGGGGAUUCAAAUAUAAGACGAGAAGACCCCAUGGAGCUUUAAGCAAUAUAUUUACCUUCAUAUAAACCAACUUAAUAAAAAGAACUAAAUAUUAGCUUUAGGUUGGGGGGACCACGGAGUAUAAUUUAACCUCCAUGACAAACGGGCUACGCCCUUAUCCACGAGCCACACCUCUAAGAAUCAAUAAACUGAUGUUUAAUGACCCGAUAUAUCGAUCAACGAACCAAGUUACCCUGGGGAUAACAGCGCAAUCUACUUCAAGAGCCCCUAUCGACAAGUAGGUUUACGACCUCGAUGUUGGAUCAGGGUAUCCCAGUGGUGCAGCCGCUACUAAAGGUUCGUUUGUUCAACGAUUAAAACCCU